GAACCCCAGUGAACCCCAGCUCGACAGCAUAAAAAUGAGCUCUCUUGUCAUUGCUUGUCAUCAAGGUCUGUAGAUUAAUAGACGGCUGGGAUCAGGUCGUCGCAUGACUCAGUGCGCAUGCGCGGUCAGCCUCGUUUGGUGCUAUUCCUCACUACUAAUGUUCACCACAUAAUGUAAACAAACAGUGUAUGGCAUGUCAAAAAAAUUUCCAUUUGAAAAUUUAAUCAUUUAUUUAUUGAAUAAAUAUUGUACGUCAAUGUUGUGCGAUCGGUUGCUUUCCCCAGAAGUUCAGAUCGUCGUCGAAAAUGAUCAACUGGUGCUGGUAUGAGUCAAAUAAAACCAAGCUCAAGGUUAUGUGAUAUAUAUUUAUGAAAAUCCAUUAUGAUGAAUCCCAAUAUGAACAACAUCGUCAGGAUGGCUCAAAAAAAAUUAAAACCAAAUGCAGUACCAACUUUGUUUGGUGAUGUUUUGAUAGAUUAUUUGAGUAAAAUCCACCAAAAUAAAAGUAACUACAUGAUGUUAGUUGGACUUCAUUUGAAUCACUAAAGCAGUUGUCAACAAUAAACUUAGGUAAAUCUGAUGUGCAAAUACCGGUAUUUUAUUUUUUGAAAUUCAGUGAAAUUUUCGAUACCAAUACUGUAUUUACAACUAUAGAGAUGUUACUCAUGGUAUUGAAAAAUAAAAAAUAUAUGAACAUAACUUGAUUUUAUUGUAUAAAUAAAAAUAAAUACAUACGAAG